rnacentral:rRNA from 1 species
UACGUAGGGGGCAAGCGUUGUCCGGAUUUAUUGGGCGUAAAGCGCUCGCAGGCGGCUCGAUGCGUCGUGCGUGAAACACCCCGGCUCAACUGGGGAGGGUCGUGCGAUACGGUCGAGCUUGAGGCCAGUAGGGGGAUGCGGAAUUCCGGGUGUAGUGGUGGAAUGCGUAGAUAUCGUGAGGAAGACCAGUUGCGAAGGCGGAUCUCUGGGCAGUUCCUGACACUGAGGCACGAAGGCCAGGGGAGCAAACGGG